UGCCGAGCCACGUCUGCCUGCGCCUUCCACAGACCCGCUAACCCGGCCCUUCUCCGUGGUCUGCGUAGCCCGGCCUCUUGUGGGAGAGUCUUAGAUGCAGGUUUUAGGACCCACCCCCCGCCCCCCGACAAAGCCAAGCAGGCAGGCGAUCUCCCCGGAGACAACUUUCAGCAGGUUCUCCAUACUAAUGAAGAGAGGGAAUGGAUUCUCAUGAAAGCAGUUGACACACUCCCAAAAUAGCUUCAAAGACUGACUGAUGACCAAAAGAAGAGGGAAUUGACCAAGGUCUGCCAAUAUGGAGGCCACAAUGGGGCAAAAACACAGACUUAGGUGACCUCUCCGGACUCCUGUUUAAUGCCCUGCUGGACAAGGCAGGUUCUUAAAAAGGAAUUUGUAUGAAAUAGAAGUUUCAUAUGCAUAUUAAACAAGGAUAACAGGGGACAAACAGAUCAUGCCCCCACGGAUGUUUUCAAA